rnacentral:rRNA from 1 species
GGUUAACGCUGGCGAUGUGCCUAAGACAUGCAAGUCGAGCGGGAUUUGUGUGUAACACAUGGAAUUCAAAUUUCUAAUUUAUAAUUUUUAAUUUCUAGUCAAUUUUUAAUUUCUAGUUUCUAAUUUUUAAUUAAAAACUAAAAAUUUAAUCAUUAGAAAUUCAAUAAAAAUUAAUAAUUAAAAACUAAAAAUUUCGUGUGUUAUACACGAGUUUAGCGGCGAACGGGUGAGUAAAAGAUACAAACGUACCUCAAAGUGGAACAUAGCUCGCCGAAAGGCGAGGUAAUUUUCCAUAUUCCCUCCGGGGGAAAGACGCAAGUCGCUUUGAGAGCGGUGUAUCAACUACCAGCUAGUUGGUGGGGUAAUGGCCUACCAAGGCGAUGACGGUUAACGGCUCUUAGCGGAGAGUCCGUCACGAAUGGGACUGAGACACGGCCCAUACACCUACGGGUGGCAGCAGUUAGGAAUUUUGCACAAUGGACGAAAGUCUGAUGCAGCGACAUCGCGUGAGGGAUGGAGGCCUUAGGGUCGUAAACCUCUUUAUUUUUUCAUGAAGAAAGAAUGAAUAAGCAACUACUAACUACGUGCCAGCAGUCGCGGUAAUACGUAGGUUGCAAGCGUUACCCGGUUUUAUUGGGCGUAAAGGGUCCGCAGGUGGUCUUUUAAGUCCUGUUUCAAAGACUCCAGCUUAACUGGAGGAAGGGGCAGGAUACUAAAAGACUCGAGACAUAUCGGAGUUACUGGAAUUUAUAGUGUAGGGGUAAAAUCCGUGGAUACUAUAAAGAACACCAAGCGCGAAGGCAGGUAACCAGGUAUGUUCUGACACUCAGGGACGAAAGCUAGGGGAAUCGAUCAGAUUAGAGACCUGAGUAGUCCUAGCCGUAAACAUUGUCCGUUAAUUUUUCUCCGAUUUAUCGGGGGGAGAUGUAAGCUAACGCGUUAAACGGACCGCCUGGGGAGUAUAACCGCAAGGUUGAAACUCAAACGAAUUGGCGGGGAGGCGCACAACCAGUGGAGCAUGUGGUUCAAUUCGAUACGAAGCGAUAAACCUCACCUGGGUUUGAAAUGUAUCUGCAAGCCGGAUGAAAGUCUGGCCGCCUUCGAGGGUGAUACACAGCUGUUGCAUGGCUGUCGUCAGCUCGUGACGUGAGUUGUUCUCUUAAGUGAGGUAACGAGCGCAACCCCCAUCCCGUGUUAUUGUGUCACGGGAGACUGCCUAGCAUUAUUUUGUUAGGAGGAAGGAGGGGACGACGUCAAGUCAUCAUGAUGCUUAUAUCCAGGGCUACACACAUCCUACAAUGGAAAGUACAACGGGUUGCCAAGCCGCGAGGCGGAGCUAAUCCUUCAAAACUUUCCUCAGUUGGGAUUGCAGGCUGAAACUCGCCUGCAUGAACCCGGAAUUGGUAGUAAUCGCAAAUCAGCAGAUUGCGGUGAAUACGUUCUCGCCUCUUGCACACACUGCCCGUCAAAUCAGCAAAGUUGAGGGUACCCAAAGGCUCUGGUUCGCCAGGGACUAAGGUAAAUUCAGCGAUGAGGGUU